rnacentral:rRNA from 1 species
GACAGAGGAUGCAAGCGUUAUCCGGGAAUGAUUGGGCGUAAAGCGUCUGUAGGUGGCUUUUUAAGUCCGCCGUCAAAUCCCAGGGCUCAACCCUGGACAGGCGGUGGAAACUACCAAGCUGGAGUACGGUAGGGGGCAGAGGGAAUUUCCGGUGGAGCGGUGGAAAUGCGUAGAGAUCGGAAAGAACACCAACGGCGAAAGCACUCUGCUGGGCCACACUGACAUGAGAGACGAAAAGCUGG